rnacentral:lncRNA from 1 species
CAGGGACACAUAGAGCCGCAACAUCACCGCUGUAGCCGUGUUCAUCUUCGCUUUGUGCGAGGCCAUAGUUGCAAUGCUGCAGAGAUGGCUCAUUCAAUAACUCGAAAUUUGCCUGGCGUAAAAGAUCUGAGCUCAAACUUUCGGUAACGAAUACAUUUCCUUUUGAUUACAGAAUCUUUCUAUUAUUUAGGGGUUCACAUAUUGAAAUAGCAGCUGAGGGUUAUUCUAUGUGAAGCUCUUAUCUGAGCUACUUAUCAGGAUUUGGAAGCUGUUUCAGUAAAUUAGAUAGAUACAAAAGAGCAGUGUUAGCCUGAUAGAGAUGGCUACAAUCAAAAUCUAUAUUUCGCAUAACGCGUAGCUAAUUUUUGCUUUAUCACUGAAAACGUUACUUAGCAUAUACUAAUGAAUUAUGAAUUAUUUAAAAUGGUGUUGAAUGUACUCAUGUUGAUUCCACCACUGUCUGGUCGUGAAGCUGGAUGGUACCAAGCAGGAUUUGAAGUUGUGCAACCCCAAUAGCUCCAGAUAAGGCUUACGGUCAAUAAGCAGAGAACAUCCGGGAUUUGUGUUCUCAGUGAACUGAUUCAUUCCCAUUUAUGUAGCUCUGGUACUUACUGACCACAUCAAAGAUAUGACAUGUGACGUAUCGAAGCCGUGACAGAAUCACCCGUAGUCAAGGUGCAUUUGAGAUUUCAUGAAAUUAUUCUUUUUAAUGAUUGUUUUUUGAGUCCCACUCAAUCGCAUCGAAAUUCAUGCCGUGCCGGAAUCACAGUGAAGGAACAUUCGAUCAUUAAUCACUUUCAUGCAAUAGCAUCUGAGCUGUGGGCUCUAAUGAGAGCAUGGAACAGUCACAAGUAAAACUCGACGAGAUCAUUGCUAUAGCGUGCGGAUUCAUCGGUAGUUUAUUGGAUGUAGUGUAAUUUCUCAAUGGAUACAACCAGGAUGGCAAAGAUGAGUGUUACACGAGUUGUGUGACUCGCAUCACAUAGGUAUUGCCGUCUUCUAAUCGGCUUGUUACAUCCACUUGUGGCAGAACUGCAAUGGUUGGAACGCCCAGAGCGCAUGAUCCGUGUCAAUCAGGUAAUUUGCUGUGACAAAAGUGAAGUGAGUUAAGUCUUCAGCACAUUACUACUAAAACCUGAAGUUCUGUUCUCUGUCUGCGAUGUGAAACAUUCGGCAACUUCCUGAUGGAGGAGCAAUUUCGAAGUUGGGCGAAUGAGAAUUUGAAAAUCUUUCAGGAGGGACAAUGUCUUCAACAGCUAAGGUCAGCUUUUCUAAUUCUUCUCAGAAAAUACCAUUCAAUUUUGUGGAAAAAAUUCCGUUAUCAAAUAUAUUAUCAAUAUUUGCAUAGUCUCACACUCGGUUAAAUUAGUAUUUUGAUGUUUUCUAAAUACAUUUUCGAAUGUAGCAAUUUAUAAUUCAACGAAUUGGUGAUUUCUUAUAUUAUUGAAUUAUAAUAUAAGAAUAAAAAAGUUAGAGUUGUCUUCUGGAUCUUGCUAAAAUAAAAUCUGAAAGAAUUUUAAAUAGAUAUUCAACUCAAUAAAGGAAAGAUUAAAUUAAAGAUAUAUAUGUUAUUAAAAUCUAUUCUAAGUUUUAGUAUUAAAAUUAGAUAAUACUUUCACAAAUAAUUUUUAUUAAAAAAAAUGGCUAUUUUUUAUUACUUUACUUAAAUAAAUCUUAAAAUUGUAGCCAUAUUAAAAAUUUAAAAGAAUAUUGAUAUUUCUUUCCACACUUUUAUCAUUUCUGCCAGCUAUGUAACUACCACCAUGAUUCAAUAGUUCUACUAUAUACAUGGAGUUAUGAAUAGUGAAUUGCAUCUUCUUUGCAAAGAUCUAUAAUUUGUAUUUUUCUUUGUCGACUUCAUUUGGCUCCAUAUUUGGUCAUGAUUUAGUAUAAAUAAUUUUUUUUGGUUAAUAUAAAUUAACACUAGACAAUUAUUAUUUUUGUCAAAUAUUAAUUUCUAAGUAUCAAUCUUCAACCAAUCUUCUUU